CCUACGGGUGGCUGCAGUGGGGGAUAUUGCACAAUGGGGGAAACCCUGAUGCAGCGACGCCGCGUGGGUGAAGGAGUGCUUCGGCAUGUAAAGCCCUAUCGGCAGGGAAGAAACAAGACGGUACCUGACUAAGAAGCCCCGGCUAACUACGUGCCAGCAGCCGCGGUAAUACGAAGGGGGCGAGCGUUAUCCGGAUUAACUGGGUGUAAAGGGGGCGUAGACGGCCAUGCAAGCCAGGGGUGAAAGCCCGGGGCCCAACCCCGGGACUGCCCUUGGAACUGUGCGGCGAGAGUGCGGGAGGGGCAGGUGGAAUUCCUGGUGUAGCGGUGAAAUGCGUAGAUAUCAGGAGGAACACCGGCGGCGAAGGCGGCCUGCUGGACCGCGACUGACGUUGAGGCUCGAAAGUGUGGGGAGCGAACAGGAUUAGAUACCCGAGUAGUC
rnacentral:rRNA from 1 species